GAAAUUUCAAACUUUAUUUAUGGAAUGCAAAGAUAUUGUUUAAUUACAACCGUACAAAAUCAAAAGAUUACAGGGGAUAGAGGCAAAAACCAUUUUUCCAAGAGCAAGCAAAACCCAAUAUCACAUUUGGAUUAGGCUGCCUUUCAUUGGAUUUAUUACUUAUUUGCAGUUACCUCCUCUUGAACCAGAAGACAAGACACAAUAAAAAAAGAUAAUACAAAUACCAAGAGUAGCUUAGUAUGACCAGCACCAGAAGGCAUGAUCUUCAAAACUUGCAGGUGGGUCGGAGUAAUCACCAUCUUCAAGCUUUGGGAAGACAUAUGGGGGCAAUAGGCUCUCGCUUAAAUUAUCUUCUUCAUCCUGGGAUAAGUCUGACUGGUCUGGUUCAAAAACAUAUGAAGAAUCACCAGCCUCUAAGAGUGAAGAGUGAACCCCAUCAGUGUAAUGUGGGCUGUCUGAAUCAAAUAUAUCACUUUUGGCUGAGCUAAUAUCUUCUUGCUUACAGGCCACAAUUGAAACUUUUGAUACUUCACCCUCAGAAGUUGAAUCACCAAUUGGCUUUUUCUGUGGUUCCUGAGAUAAUGUUUCUUUAUCAGACAACUCCAAAUUUCCCUUGUCCUCUCUGAGAAGCAGCUUGUCUGUGAGGAGAUUAACCUGAAAAUAAUUUAACCAUCAAACAAGUUUGCUCAAUUUCAAUGCUAAACCCAAAUUAUAGCAGAAGCUGAGAAUUCUAAAUGACUAUUGUUUAUUUUUACAUCAGCUUUUAGUUUAUCUUUCUCCUUGAGGAGCGUAUCAUAGUCAGCCUUAAGGCUAUUAUAGCUAGUCUGCAAUGCCUCAUAAUCCUUCUCCAGCUGUUUUGUCUUCCAUCUUGCUCGGCGGUUUUGAAACCAUAUUGCAACCUGCCGAGGCUGCAGGCCAAGGUCCUUUGCAAGCUGGAUUUUCCUUUCUGGUUCGAGCUUGUUCUCAACCUCAAAACUUUUUUCAAGAAAGCGAACUUGAUCAACAGAAAGUCUCCUCUUCUUCUCGGGUUGAUAAAAAUACUCAUCCAAUUCAUCAUCACCAUUCUCUUCAUGAUCAAAAGAGCGGAAAAAAGGCCGGGUUGAUCCAUUUACUUGAUGAACAUCCUCAAAGCUCACCAUGGAUCUUGAGCCUAAAUUAAUGGCACAUCAUGAUAAGAAUACCAUAUUUUGAGGAUCACAAGAACUGCACAUUCAAAUUAGUAACCAUUUCUAUGCCAUUAACACAAGCCAUUCAAAAGGUGUAGUUUGGUUAGGCUUCUUGCUCGCAUUAAUUGCUUAAAAAAAGCCAUCUAGCAUGAUUCAAUAACUCAGAUAUAAAGAGCAUCAGAAACAUCUAAAUUAACCAGAUCUCAUGGAACACUUUUGACCUCAAUUGAGAUAUUUGAGCCCAGGAUGCCAUCUUCCAGGCUUCAUAUUACAGGGUAAGGACAGAGUAGAAAGUCAACCAACAUCCAAAAACCUCCCAUAUGAAAAAGGAAAAGAAGCAUGCUAAAAAUUCAAUACUUGUAAGUACAAACAAAAUAUUGCAUUCAGUCAUGGAAAGAAAUGUUAGCUUCUUGCCCUUUCUCCUCUACCUUGAUUGUAAAUACGUGCAAAAAAUUAACUUUCCAUCGUAAAGCAUCACUUUCUAAUCAGAGAUUUAUGAAGCAGAAUUUUGUGAAAAUUUGCACUUUUAACAUAAUCAGAAAAAUAAAACACCAAUAAAAAAAAAAGUAGCUUGAUCAGAUUUAUUUUAAUUAUACAGCAAUUAUAGUAGAAAAUAGAUAUUGCUUAGGUAUUAAAUACAGAUAGGAAGGGAGUGAGGUUGAAGAGGGUACCUAGGAAGGAAGGAGAAGACCCAGUAAGGAAAAAGGCAUCAAGAGGCGGAGAAGUAGAAGGACCUCGUUGGCUUUGGAGCGAAACAGAAAAAUUCGAACCACCACCACCAACACUUGCCAUGCUUUUUCUAUAAAAUUUUCCUGCUAAUACAGGUUUUCACGCUGUCAGCACGGCCCUGGGCAAAAACUCAAAAGACCCAGAUUCCAAGAUGUAACAGUCUCUAUAUUUAAAAAAAAAAAUUUAUUUCUUAAGAUUUGUGGCGAAAGAAGCUGGUGAUGAUGAUCUCUGUGAUGUGGGAAGUGUGGGAGCACCUGCAGCAGCUCACACCCAUCCCUCAGAAGAAGGAGAAUUGUUCAGUAACAGACACAGAAAAAGGGACAGAGAGAGAGAGAAAGAGAUAUGUUUUGAUUAUUUUGGCAAAGAAGAAAAGCUGUGAGAGUAGAGAAAGAGAAGUAUGAGAUUUGAGCAGAGAAAGAGAGGAGAUAUUCUUCUUUCUGCAGAGGAGAAAGGAUGAUUGGGUUAUAACAAGUACAGCAGAUGAGCAUACUGCUGUCCUGGUUUGAUUUUAAUUUUUAUCGAAAUA
rnacentral:misc_RNA from 1 species